UGAUCUGAAAUGCCUUGUGUUCUGGUAAGA
rnacentral:piRNA from 1 species